rfam:Schistosoma mattheei strain Denwood, Zambia genome assembly, scaffold: SMTD_scaffold0003921
GUACUGCUGACGAGUCCAACAAUAGGACGAAACGGCCUUCUGGUGU